rnacentral:rRNA from 1 species
AUUGAACGCUGGCGGCAGGCCUAACACAUGCAAGUCGAACGAGUGGCGGACGGGUGAGUAAUGUCUGGGAAACUGCCUGAUGGAGGGGGAUAACUACUGGAAACGGUAGCUAAUACCGCAUACCAUCAGAGGUGCCCGGUUGGGAUUAGUAAGUUGGUGGGGUAACGGCCCACCAAGGCGACGAUCCCUAGCUGGUCUGAGCGGAUGACCGGCCACACUGGAACGUAUACACGGCCCAGACUCCUACGGGAGGCAGCAGUGGGGAAGAUUGCACAAGGGGCGCAAGCCUGAUGCAGCCAUGCCGCGUGUAUGAAGAAGGCCUUCGGGUUGUAAAGUACUUUCAGCGGGGAGGCGUUACCCGCAGAAGAAGCGCCGGCUAACUCCGUGCCAGCCGCCGCGGUAAUAC